rnacentral:piRNA from 1 species
UGGAAAGUUGAGUGUAGACUGUGUUGC